rnacentral:rRNA from 1 species
ACGCUGGCGGCAGGCCUAACACAUGCAAGUCGAGCGGAAACGACUUAUCUGAACCUUCGGGGAACGUUAAGGGCGUCGAGCGGCGGACGGGUGAGUAAUGCCUAGGAAAUUGCCCUGAUGUGGGGGAUAACCAUUGGAAACGAUGGCUAAUACCGCAUGAUGCCUACGGGCCAAAGAGGGGGACCUUCGGGCCUCUCGCGUCAGGAUAUGCCUAGGUGGGAUUAGCUAGUUGGUGAGGUAAUGGCUCACCAAGGCGACGAUCCCUAGCUGGUCUGAGAGGAUGAUCAGCCACACUGGAACUGAGACACGGUCCAGACUCCUACGGGAGGCAGCAGUGGGGAAUAUUGCACAAUGGGCGCAAGCCUGAUGCAGCCAUGCCGCGUGUGUGAAGAAGGCCUUCGGGUUGUAAAGCACUUUCAGUCGUGAGGAAGGUGGUGUAGUUAAUAGCUGCAUYAYUUGACGUUAGCGACAGAAGAAGCACCGGCUAACUCCGUGCCAGCAGCCGCGGUAAUACGGAGGGUGCGAGCGUUAAUCGGAAUUACUGGGCGUAAAGCGCAUGCAGGUGGUUUGUUAAGUCAGAUGUGAAAGCCCGGGGCUCAACCUCGGAAUAGCAUUUGAAACUGGCAGACUAGAGUACUGUAGAGGGGGGUAGAAUUUCAGGUGUAGCGGUGAAAUGCGUAGAGAUCUGAAGGAAUACCGGUGGCGAAGGCGGCCCCCUGGACA